ensembl:lncRNA
AGGGAACUGAACGUGUCUAUGGCACUAAUGGGUCUAUGAAACUAUCUGGCCUAAUGCUAAUGCAUCUAUUGUCUUAACAGGUCUAUGCUGCUAAAGAGUCUAUGGCACUAACAGGGCUAUCACAGCAGUAAGACUAGUUGUUGGUAUUCAACAACCCUCCCACCACCACCACCACCACCACCAAAGGAAUAUGCUUUA